rnacentral:rRNA from 1 species
UAGGGAAUCUUCCACAAUGGACGCAAGUCUGAUGGAGCAACGCCGCGUGAGUGAAGAAGGGUUUCGGCUCGUAAAGCUCUGUUGUUAAAGAAGAACGUGGGUAAGAGUAACUGUUUACCCAGUGACGGUAUUUAACCAGAAAGCCACGGCUAACUACCUGCCAG